ensembl:lncRNA
GUGGAUGGAGGUCAGUGUAGAGGCUAAGCCAAGGUUCUUGUUCCUCCAGGAAGUGAGCGAGAAUUCCUGCUAUGACCUGACCAGGGUGAAAAUGAUGAGAUCCUAUAGGCAACACCCCGAAACUUUGUGGAGAAUUACUACUCAUCACCCCCAUCCACUGAGGUCUGUACAAUCAGGGUGAAGGAAUAAGCAUGCUGGCAAUUCCACAUUUCUAGGAAGCACCGUUCCCCGACUCUGCUCUCCUUUCCACCAACCCAUCUCUUCUGUACCCCCAAGCCAUCGGGGAGUAAUUCUGUCUCUCACAGAUGAUAAGCACAACGAUCUCCAAGUGGCUUUCCUGAAUAUCUACCACAACCAGACCCUCAAAACCCUCAUGGCCUGGAGUGGGUGGUGCAAUUCUGCCCCAGGACUCACUAUGUGCUUAAGGGUCUUUAGUUCCAGAAUAAGAUAGAAUACAGCUUUUUACAAAUCUUCAAUUCCAUGGAGGGCAGUUGGUGGGCAAAGAAGAUCAGGUGCCUCAGAACAGGCACUGGACCAGAUCACAGGGUUGGAGACCCCGAAUCUGAGGAGUUAUGAGACUGCCAUCUCAGAAACUAUCCUGUGCCAUCUUCAAGUGAAUUCAGGUCCUUCAAAGUUUGUUGGACUCACACUGAACACCGGAGAACCUCUUCCAGUCUGGUAUUUAAACUGUCCCAGAAAUUCUGUUGUGAUGAAAGCUGAUGCAUACAAGAAUUGUCCAGGAGGCUGGAUGACAGCCAAUAGAAUGGAAUACCUGUAGCAGGAAACUUUGGGGCUUAGUCCCCCACCACAAAUUCUGUAAUAAAAAAAAUUCCUGGAAAAUUUCAGAACCCGUAGGGGGCUCUUGAAUUUGUAGUAUCUGCAAAGGGACCACUUUCUGGUUCAAUGUCACCUCCUAAAUCAAACUUUUAACACCCUAUGUUAACAAUAAUUACCUCACAUCCCCCACAAGAGCUAUCAACUCCCUUUUCUCUAUCCAAAAGAAGCCCUAAUGCUGAUGAAAAGACCAGGACCACAGUGAUAUUCCAGGCACACAACCAGUUGUGAAAUGAUGGGACACUGAGCCUGAGUGAUCCGCUGACCACACAGCAACAAAGAAAUUGGGUCUGGAUAACAUCUUAACUGUGAUGCAAUAAAAUUGAUUUUUAAAAUGAGGGGAUGGCAGGCAGCAAUAAUGAAGAUGGGAAAACCAAGAUCCUCCUUCAUUUAGGGAAUCAAGAUGUUAUCUGUGUUGAGGAUUCCUAGAGUGACUUGGCUAGAGCAAAGAUAGCUAGCUGGUAGAAGGUCCCCUGUAAUCCUGACACUAUCCCUGAGAGCUGAGUCUGGGCUGGAAGAAGGCUCUUAUGAAGGGCUGCUAAAAGGAGGGAAAAAAAAAAAUCCAGGUUAGAAGGGAAGGCAACCUGAUGCAGUGGGAAGGGCCCUUGAUUUGGAAGACUUUAAGUUCUAGUUGUGAUCCUAUACCAACUCACUCAUUGGGCAAAUCACUGUUCCCCCUCCGAAACUCAGUUUCUCCAUUUGCAAAAUGAAGGGGAUGGACAAGAUCUUUAAAAUCCUUUCCAGUCCUAAGACUCUUAUGGAUAAAACCUAUGAGAACUUUGCCCAGUUCAAUAGCCACACUCCCCACCUCUACCUGGCCUCAGCCCCUUAUCAGUAUUGUUGGAAUUCUUAACUGAUCCAAUCAUCUCUUGUCCCCAUUUUAAUCAAGUUGAAGGGCACACUAAAACUCCCUCCCUCUCUCAUCAAUUCCCUGUGAGCUAUAUAAUGAGUUCCUCAGUGGGAAGGAAGAUUUCAGAGCUGGGAGCAGAAAACAAGGCCCUGCAAAGGAUACCCCCAGAACAGUUUUACUGGCCAAUUUCUAGGGCCCCAUCCAAGUUCCUGCCACAUCAAGGGAAAGGCAGGCAGACAUUCACCAUUGUGUCUUUUUAUCUCCUUUGCUGCUCCCAGAUCUAUGUCAACUAAAUUCUCCACAAGGAAAACAUCAUCUAGCAUGCCAGAGGGGAUAGGAAGGAGUGAGGACAGAAACUGUUUGUAACCUAAGCUCACUAACUCUGAUCUGGUCUUUUGUUCCUUCCACCUCAGUAUACUACUGACACCAUAAGACUAACAUGGGGACAUCGGUGCUCAGGUUUUUCAGGUGCUGUCCAGAGUGGGGGAGAGAAAUGGAAGGAGAGGAACUUUUCAAUACUACUGGAAGGUCAUCCAACAUCAAUGAGAGGGUCCAGAGGCAGAUUCAGUACCCUGUGGAGAAGGUGCAAGCCCACACCUACCCCUUUCCUGUUCAACCAUCCAAACAAGUGCGUGGCAAAUCCUGCCGGCCCCUUCCUUUUGAUGUUGGUCAGGACCAAACCCCAGGAAGCCAGCAGAAACCAGGUCAUCUGACGCACAUGGGGCCACAAAGCUGUGUUAUCUGAGUGGACAUCCACCUUGUCUUCCUGAUGGGCCCACUUCCAUUCCUCUUUCCUAUGGGAUUUGUUGGUAGAUAAAAGCAGAAAGCACCAAGAUUUCCUCCAAGGAGGUUUCCUAGAUACAUAUCACAAUCUGACUCUUAAGACCCUCAAAGGAUCAGAAUGGGUAGCUCGCUACUGUCCCACUACCUGCAGUACCUGCUGCCUUCCAAGGAACCCCAGGUCAAGAAUUUCAUUAAAGGACACAUUUAUAGGACUAUGGACCCCAUUAGGAUCACAAGGAAGUAGAGAAAUACCUAAGGAAAUCAGCCCCCAAACCAAGUACCCUCUCUACUACAGUGGAUUUCACUAUGUGAUAACCACUAAUCUAUUCAUCAGGGUCUUGGUUGCUGCCCCAAAUGUAAAGAAUAUCUACUUGGAAGCUUUAAGAGUCAUGCUUCCAAGUGCUUGAAGAAGCAUCCAUACACAGCUUCCUAACUCUUUCCAGCAGUACCAAAUUAAGUUUCAUCAAUGUAGCUGUCUUCAAUUUGCCUUUGUCAAUGGCUUUCUUCCCCAGGAACUGCAGGGGUACUGGCCUACCUUCCAAGAGGCAAUACAUGUUUCCCAGUAUUAUCUAUUUAGCAAUCAUGAUCCUCUCUCCUCAGGGCCAACAGCGUGAGUUUCCUACUUACUUUACUCUCUGGACUAGCAAUAUAAUCAUUAAAGGCAGUGAACAAAAUGAAGUGACAAAAAUGAACUUUCCUCUGGUCGUGAUGGCAUGGGAGAGGAGGAAGAAGCAUCCAAAGGAUACAGUAUGCAUUUGAUAGGGUGUCCCAAAAGACAUAGUACAGUUUUAACUAAAUUUUUGCUUUUAUAGCUUAAUAAACCUUGGAAAAAUUAUUUAAAAUUGUAACCAAGGCCUAAUGUUAGGGAACAGUAUAGAGUUCCAGGAAGAUCAUGAUGAGUUUGAUUUAAGACCUGACCUGGGACAUUAAUCUACAACUGCAAAUUGAACUCUAGGUCACCCAAGGAGUCCCUACAACCAUGUAGAACCUAAUGGUGUCUUUUGGGAUGAUCCUCUCAUGAAACACAGCUAUACUCCAUUUUCCAACCAAGUCCCUCUAAAUAGGAGACCUACAUGUAGGUGACUAAAAAGUACACUUAACUGUCCACCAGCUAAAGGGAACAGGUGAAAGAUAAGGCAUUGUGGUGUAGUGGAAAGAGUGCUGGGCUUGGAGAGUCAGCAGACCUGGGUCAAGUUAUGAUAGAGCUGCUCACACCACUUAGAUGAGCAGUCACCAACUAUAAUCAUUCCAGCAAGAUGGAGGACCACUGUGGCUCUUGCUCUUUGCCCUAUCACAAUUCCCUCCUGACUCUCAGGGGACUGCCAUCUGACCUGCCAAUGAUUCCUAAGAACUGGGUCUCGCCAUCUACCCUUCAGUCAUACCCUUACAGUCCUGGCCCUUCUGUCAUAUAGCUGACCUCGCUUAUCUAUGCU